GGCGAAGGAUGGAUUGGUGGCGAGAGAGAAAGAUCAAAGGAGAAUGUGGAGACGAGCUGCUUCUUCGUACUUCUUGAUUUCUUCCAGUUGCCGACGCUUAUCUUCCGAAGCCGAAGCUCAAGCCCCAUCCCUUUACUCUUUCCUCCAACCCUCACUCUUCGCCUUGAACCGGAAGCCACACCCGCCCAAGCAAGAAGAAGAAGCCCCCCAAACCCUGACGCUAAAUCAGCACGCCGCCUUGGAAACCGCUCUCCAAAAAUCCCUCUCCGCCGGCAACACCGACGAGGCCUGGAAAUCUUUCAAGGCUCUUCUCUCCAACGCCUCUUCUUCCCCGAGUAAGCCUCUCGCCAAUUCUAUCAUCACCCAUCUCUCCUCUCUCGCUGACGCCCAUAAUCUCAAAAGGGCUUUUGUUUCUGUCGUCUUUUUGUUGGACAAGAAUCCCAAUUUGCUCGACUGUAAAACCCUAGAAGCCCUUUUCGAUUCCAUGAGAGUUGCCAGUGCUGCCGCCCCUGCCUUUGCGUUGCUUAAAUGCAUGUUCAAGAAUAGGGUUUUUGUUCCUUUCGGUCUCUGGGGCGAUGUUCUCGUUGAAAUUACUAGGAAAAAUGGCAGCUUUUUGGCUUUUCUCCGUGUUUUUGGCGAGAAUUGUAGGAUUGCUUUGGAUGAGAACCUGCAUCAUAUGAAACCCAGUUUGGCUGCGUGUAAUGCGGCCUUGGAGGCUGCUUGUUGUGAGCUUGAAUCUGUUACUGAUGCCGAGAGUGUUAUGAAGAUGAUGUCUGCUUUGGAUGUGAGGCCGGAUGAACUGAGUUUUGGGUUUCUUGCAUAUUUGUAUGCGUUGAAGGGGCUUAAAGAAAAGAUAGUUGAGUUGGAAAGUUUGAUGAGUGGAUUCGGUUUCCUCAACAAGAGAAUAUUUCUUAGUAAUUUGAUUAGUGGGUAUGUCAAGUAUGGUAGUUUAGAGUCUGCUUCCAUGACUAUUUUGGGUAAUCUGAGAGGAGAUGGAGAGGAUUCAAAUUUCAAUGAAGAGACUUUUCUUGGAGUGGUGAAAGGUUUUCUUCAGAAAGGAAGUAUCAAGGAUUUAGCCAAGUUAAUUAUUGAUGCUCAAAAGCUGGAACCUCCAUCAAUCGUAGUUGAGCAAUCAGUUGGUUAUGGCGUCAUUGGUGCCUGUGUUACACUUGGCUUCCUAGAUAAGGCGCACAACAUCCUCGAUGAAAUCAAUGCCAGGGGAUGUUCGAUUGGGCUUGGUGUUUAUUUGCCAAUCUUGAAAGCUUACUGCAAGGAGCAAAGGACGGCUGAAGCAACUCAAUUGGUUAUGGAGAUUAGUGAUUCAGGACUGCAGUUGGAUGUUGGUACAUAUGAUGCGCUGAUAGAAGCAUCCAUGUCUAGCCAAGAUUUUCAAUCAGCUUUCUCUUUGUUCAGGGACAUGAGGGAAGCAAGAAUACCUAACUUGAAGGGAAGUUACUUGACCAUAAUGACAUGUUUGACAGAGAAUCACCGGCCUGAGUUAAUGGCAGCAUUCUUAGAUGAGGUUGUUGAGGAUCCUCGGGUCAAAGUGGGUACGCAUGACUGGAAUUCAAUCAUUCACGCCUUCUGUAAAGCUGGACGGUUGGAAGAUGCUAGGAGGACUUUUAGAAGAAUGAUAUUUCUCCAGUUUGAACCUAAUGAGCAGACAUACCUGUCCCUCAUCAAUGGGUAUGCAACUGCAGGGAAAUACUUCAGUGUUUUGAUGCUGUGGAAUGAGGUUAAGAGAAGGGUUUCCAUUGAUGGAGAGAAACAGUUCAAAUUAGACCACAAUUUGGUAGAUGCUUUCCUUUAUGCUCUAGUUAAGGGAGGCUUCUUUGAUGCUGUAAUGCAAGUUGUGGAGAAAUCUCAGGAGAUGAAGAUCUUCGUUGACAAGUGGAGGUACAAGCAAGCUUUCAUGGAGAACCAUAAGAAACUCAGAGUAUCAAAGUUGAGAAAGAGAAACUCAAGGAAAAUGGAAGCACUUGUUGCUUUCAAGAAUUGGGCCGGUCUGAGUGCAUGAUCAUACAGCACAUCUUCACUGUGCUUACUUUGUUUACUGGAGGUUCUUUUUUGGUGCAGAGAUUAUUGAUAUCUCAUUGACAGCUAAAAAAGGAGGUUGAGAAAGAAAAAAUUGGAUAUAUGAAUGGCAUAUUGCUUUUGCAUAUUUAUUCCUGCUAAGGCAUCAAAUUCAUAAACACCUAAUGUUUCCAUAUUUGGCCACGGCUUGGACUGGAUGGAAUUUCAAAUGAAACUUCUCUCAGCAUCUAAUCACAAAAAUGAGCUGCUCCGAGGCUUCAAAGAACCCAAGUUCUUGGCUAGUCAGGAUGCAAGUACUUCAUGAAUGUAGACCUGAUGAAGUGUAAGAAUAUAUGUUGAAAAAUUGGGGACAAAUGUCAAUGCAUAACCAUAAUGAAAGAUUCUCCUCACUUGAUUUUGUGCUGGCAAGGAGCAUUCAGCAUGUAUUUGGCUUGGUAGCCAUGGGUUCGAGUUCUAAAAAAUCUCCUUGCAAAACAAGGGUUCUACAUACAAAAAUGACUCUCCUGACCCUCGCAAAAUGGGGAGCGCUGUGCAUUGAGGACACCAUUUAUAGAAUUUUCAACAUCUAUUAAGAUUUGUGAUGGUUAUGAUAAAGAAUUUGCAAUAGCAUACAACAUUUACAACAAGAAGCAUAAGCAAUUGUUCCUUCUCUUGGUUGGGAUGUAGUGAAAGAGAGGCAUGAUACCUGCUUUUCCCACUCUUUGGAUGGUGCUUUGAACAUUAUCAGAUGUAGUGGAGACUGGAGAUAUCACUGGAGGGCAUCUAUGAGCUUGCCAGGGUGAUAGCUGCCAAUUGGUCACCUGAAAGAGUUGCCCUUGGCCUGAUGAAGCAAAGAUAGGUGCAGCUAUGGUGCUCUUGAAAGCUGCUAAAUUUUAGCUUCUGCUUGUUGAGUGUUCAUUAUUUGCAAUGGAUCAAUCAUUUCAUUCUAUGCUACAGUGUUGUUCUCUCAUCAUCACCGGAUCUCCAAGAAUGUCCCAGAUGCUGCUCUUUCAGUUGAGCGUGUGGGCCAUUCUCAUGCUUUCUUGCACUAGAGCUGGCUCACCAUGGGUUGCUCAGCAUGAUCAAAAACCAGAAAACAAAUGCAGCCCAGUAAGACCAAACUUCAUGCUCACCAUCUCUCAGAUUACAGAUUUUAGUUAUUUAUUUAAGAGUUCGGUUGGAACGACUCUCUCUCCACUCCCACAAAGCAAUAAAGCCUUGUACAUUGAUUUGAGAGACGCCCAUUCAGUUAAAGUUUCGUUGGUCCUGUAUAAAUGUAAUAAACUUAGGAAAUGUUAUUUUAACAGUUAAUUCAGGUGUUUAAUUAGAGUUUAAGUAGUAUUUUUAAAUAA